ACAAUAAUAGAGUAACCUUGAAAUUUGUUUAGAGAGACUUGGCACUAGUGUCAUGUUUAAAUAAAACAACUAUGACAAAUUGUUGAAUUGUCCGCUUGGUGUGAAGGAUUGUAAAUCUGUCAUAGGAUAUUGAAACAUAGAAAGGCUACAAGAAUAAGAUUGAAAAAUUAUGUAGGAAAGUUCUGUAUUCCUAAAGAUCCAAUAGACUGAAGCUGCUAAUAAAUAAGUUUCUUACCAGACGGAUAGUUCCACCUAACGGCUUAACUUAUCAAUUAUGAACUUUUAAAUGUAUUGAUGCACUAGCUAAUUUUAAUAAAAUAUAAAUUGGUUUGAUAGAGAUUAGAUAAUUUUCUGUUAUGUACAGUUUCCAAAGGCAGCCUGAACUCUCUCAAUUUCUAACUUCAAUCAAUGAAUCUCAAUGCAUUUUAUUCUUCGAUUUCUAUAUUUCUCGCAAAUCUAACAUGGUAUCAAAGCGGGAAUACAGCUCUCUCACACUCCAACAAUUGAAUGGUGUUAUAGUCAUCGUCUCCCAUGAAUUUAGGGUGUUCCGACGACGGUUUUAAGUUUUCUGACGGCGGCGUUUCGACGGGCGAUCCUGAGGUUUUCCUAUAUUGAGUAUGAUGACAUCAAUAUUUGUGGUACCAGUUUCGACGGCAUUUGUAUGAGGUUUUCCUUCACCAGUUUUUCCCCAAUUUUCCGUCGCACAUUGGUUUUUUUUUUUUUUUUUGAAGAAAUAUGGUACUAUCCUUCCUCUCUAUUGAUAGACCGAAGCAUAUAACAUCUAGUUUUUGUUUACAACAAUGCCUGAUAACUCAUCUAAUAGCACAGGCACUGAGGGUUUUAUACUGUCCAGGGAACCUCUGAUGUGGCAUCCUAUUUCACUCGACUAAGGGGCAUUUGGGAUGAACUUAACACUACAUAUGUAGGGCCAACUUGCACUUGUGAUGCUUACCAAAAUUCCUUGAGGAACAAAAAUCAUUUCAGUUUCUUGGAGGGCUCAAUAAAGUCUAUUCUACUUGUAAAAGCAAUGUCCUCAUGAUGAGUCCUCUUCCUAGCCUUGGCAAGGCAUAUUCCAUGAUUCAACAUGAUGAGAAACAAAAGGAACACUCUGCUGUUCCAUCUUCUUUAUCCACGGACUCAAUGUCAUUCCAUUCAUCCUAUGGAUUUCAAGGUGCAUCUCCUUCUAGAUAUGGUGAUAUGAAUAAAUGUUCAUCUUUUUAAAACCCUGGUAGGAGAUAUAAUCAAGGAAGGAACUAUCCCCCUCCGAAGAAAAUUUCAUCUGAUAUUUCAAAUCCUGUACAUGGAGGUGGUAGACCUUACACUCAGAAAAUCCAAUUUGAUUCCAAGUCAACAAUAGCCAUAUUAUUUGUAGAUAUUGUAAGAAAAGUGGCCACAUUAUGGAGAAAUGUCAAAAACUCCAUGGAUAUCCUUCAGAUUUUCAGUUUACUAAGACUAAGAAAUCGGUUGCAUGUGCCCAAGUUGGCUUACCCUCCAGUUAUCCUCACCAGUCUAUUGUACCUCCAUCUCAACAUGGCAACCAUAAUGAUCAGUAUCAUCAUGUUUUGCAUCAAUUUAACCAAACUCACUUGUCUUCUAGUCUUCCAUCAGAUGACUCCACAGAUGCAGAAUAUUCAGGGGAGUGUCGGGAUUUUAGCUAUUGUAGACGUUUUAAGGUAGACGAGGUUAGACAGGCAGUCCGCAGGAUGCGAAGGGGUAGGGCGACGGGGCCGGAUGAGAUACCGGUGGAGUUUUGGAAGUUCGUUGGAGAGGCUGGUGUAAGGUGGUUGACUGCAUUGUUCAAUGAAAUUUUCAGGACAGCAAAGAUGCCCGAGGCGUGGAGGUGGAGUACCAUGAUCCCCCUCUAUAAGAAUAAGGGGGACAUUCAGUGUUGCAAUAACUAUAGGGGGAUUAAGUUACUGAGUCACUCUAUGAAGAUAUGGGAGAGAGUGGUCGAGGUGAGGCUGAGACGGAUAGUGUCUAUCUCGGAAAACCAGUUCGGAUUUAUGCCCGGCCGCUCGACGACGGAGGCAAUCCACCUGGUACGGAGGUUGGUGGAGCAGUAUAGGGAGAGGAAGAAGGAUCUGCACAUGGUGUUCAUCGACCUGGAAAAGGCGUACGACAAAGUCCCCAGGGAAGUGCUUUGGAGAUGCUUGGAGGUGAGUGGAGUACCGCAGGCAUAUAUCAGAGUAAUUAAGGAUAUGUAUGAGGGAGCGAAAACCCAGGUGAGGACGGCGGGAGGAGACUCAGAGCAUUUCACUGUCCUGACAGGAUUGCAUCAGGGAUCUACUCUUAGUCCCUUUUUGUUUGCGUUAGUAAUGGAUGUGUUGACGCGGCGUAUCCAAGGGGAGGUGCCGUGGUGUAUGCUUUUUGCAGACGAUGUAGUCCUGAUAGAUGAGACUCGAGGGGGUGUGAAUGACAAAUUAGAGUUGUGGAGGCAAACUCUGGAGUCUAAAGGGUUCAGGGUGAGCAGAACCAAGACAGAGUAUGUGGAAUGUAAGUUUAAUGACGUGAGGCGGGAGAAUGAGGUAGUAGUGAGGCUAGAAGCACAGGAGGUAGGGAAGAGGGAUAAGUUCAAGUAUCUCGGGUCCGUGAUCCAGAGUAACGGUGAGAUUGACGAGGAUGUCUCGCACCGUAUUGGGGCGGGAUGGAUGAAGUGGAAACUCGCAUCGGGGGUGCUGUGUGAUAAGAAGGUGCCGCCCAAGCUUAAAGGCAAAUUCUAUAGGGUGGUAGUCCGUCCGGCCUUGCUGUAUGGAGCGGAGUGUUGGCCAGUUAAGAACUCCCACAUCCAAAAAAUGAAGGUGGCAGAAAUGCGGAUGUUGCGCUGGAUGUGUGGACUGACCCGAGGGGAUAGAGUUCGGAAUGAGACUAUCCGGGAGAAGGUUGGUGUGACUUCAGUGGAGUGUAAGAUGCGGGAAGCACGAUUGAGAUGGUUCGGACACGUGAAGAGGAGGGGCACGGAUGCCCCGGUCCGUAGGUGUGAGAGGCUAGCGUUGGAUGGUUUUAGACGGGGUAGGGGUAGACCGAAGAAGUACUGGGGUGAGGUGAUUAGGCGGGACAUGGAACAGUUACAGCUCACCGAGGACAUGACCCUAGAUAGGAAGGUCUGGAAGACGCGAAUUACGGCAGAGGAUUAGGGCCAGUGCGGGUCGCUAGUGCAGGGAAUUAAUUGGUGGGGGUGUAUGCCUGUUAUGAUUCUGUAUUCAGUGUUUCGUGUUCCGUGUUCCAUGUUUAUUACGAAUAUGUGUGCUUUCCUCUGCUUUAUAUUCCUGCAUUCCCGCUUUACUCUGUUUUAUAUUCCCAAUGGGUGCCGUAUUUAUGUUAUGUCAUCUGCUUCUGUGCUGUACUAUGUGUUGUGUGAUAUCUCGUGACUUGAGCCGGGGGUCUUUCGGAAACAGCCUUUCUACUUCAUCAGAGGUAGAGGUAUGGACUGCGUACAUCUUACCCCCCCAGACCCCACUAAGUGGGAACUUAUGGCUGCAGUAUCUAUGUUAUGUCAUCUGCUUCUGUGCUGUACUAUGUGUUUGUUUGAUAUCUCGUAACUUGAGCCGGGGGUCUUUCGGAAACAGCCUUUCUACUUCAUCAGAGGUAGAGGUAUGGACUGCGUACAUCUUACCCCCCCCAGACCCCACAAAGUGGGAAUACACUGGGUUUGUUGUUGUUGUUGUUGUUGAUAAAUUGGUUUGAUAUCCGAUUAAUACUUAUCACGCAGUGUAUCAACUAAAUUUAUGAGACACUACAAAUUAAAAUUAGAACGUGUAGUCUAGUUUCCAUCGAUGGAAAUAAAAUCACAGUUUCCAAUUCUUUUGCUCAACUGUUUUUGUAAAGAUUAAACAUCGAACCUUGGAACCUUUGUGUGUAUAGAAAAAACAACCAGCAGAAUUUUAAUAAUUGGAACAAUUGUUUGUGCCAAGUUCCUUUGCACAACUCUUCCAAUUUUAGGGAGAUCAACUGUGCUUUAGGAUUAGAAAGAGUAAUACAACCGUUUCCUGAUAGUAUAUAGGCAAAUAUGAGCCUUUUUCUGAUUGAAAAUGUUAGACUGAACAUCUUAGUUAAUUUAGAAGGAAAAAAUAUACCAGCGAUGUACAUGAUCGGGUUGUUUUGGAUUUUUUAAAUAUCAAAUCAAACUAUAUGUGUUGCGGUUUUAAAUCUAUAAAUCAAACUAAAUCAAUAAAAAUCAGUUUUUUCAACCUCGGGCUUUUUGGAUUUUUUCUGUUAAGGCUUCAUUCAAAUAUAUAAUUAACUUAUACUUAAAAUAUCUCUUUAAUCCUAACAAAACACAACUAUCUUAGGUAUUUCUUAAGAAAACAACACACUAUGAAGUGAUUUACGACUCUAAAAUAUUGACAAAAAAUAAUAAUAAAAUCGGUUAAAAUAAAUAUUGCAUAUUAAUAACUCACAACUAAAGAAUAGAUGUCCAACAUUAUUAUCAUUUUUAAUGUUUUAGUUGAAUAUUUUUGUUAGCAUUAGUAUUGAUUUUGGCUUUAUCUGAGUUACUAAUAUCUGUGGGCAUAUAAACUUGUUGGAUCAUUCACAAUUCUAAGUUUAAACUUGAACUAAUAUGUUGAAAGAUAAAAAUAAUGAAAAAGUUUAAGAAAUGUUAUAAAUUACACCACAGUAAAUAUUUUUAUGUAUUAAAUAUUUUUAAUAAUUGUAUAAAUAUAAUAUUAGAUUGAUUUAAUUACUUUUAGUUAAAAUCAAACUAAUUAUAAUUGAGUUUUUUUUUUUUUUUGUUUCAAAAUCAAACCAAACCAUUAGUAGAAUUUUUUUUUGAUUUCACUCCAUUUGUUGUUUGAUUUGAUUCUGUUCGCACCUACAUAUAACUAGUCAAGUAGAUUUAUGGAAGGAUUAAGUUAAAUUGUUUCAUUGACUUUUACAUGUUAAUAAUCAAAAUGGUAGCUAAAACAAUUAUUCUGCAGUUCAGUACUUUAAUAGGAAGAUAAUUCUCCAAGCUAGGAUGAGGUGGGAAAAUACUCACUACGACCAUCGACGCCAUCGAAAAGCCCCACCCAAUGACACCUCAAGAAGGACUACAUACGAAGGGAGCACUGCCGCCCAAGGAACAAGAAUGGUGUGGAGGAAAAAGAGCAGGGGACAAAGGCGUUAGGAAUAUCGAUGCACAGAUGUAAAAUGUGUUGAGUCUAAUUGGUGUGAAUGAAAAAUGAAGGGACACAAUUUUUUAAGGAAAAGACACAUUGUUUUGAAAAAGGAAUGACUGUUCGGAUAGUUGUGUCUAUUAAAAAAAAGACACAAUAUUUCAAAUGAACAGACAUGACUCUUCCAAAGAUACACCUUUUUGGAUGAACCAUUGCCACCUUUCGGAAGGGGCAUUUUAUGGCUAUAUAAACCUGCAUUUUUUCCACAGGUUUAGGAUGAAAAAUUUAUGUAUAAGAAAAAUAUUCUCCUGCUUCUAAAAACUCUGUGUGGUCAUCUCCCGUUGAGUGAGUUCAAAGAAAAUCAGAAAGUUUGAGGUAUCGCUACAUUUUGGUUGUGAAACCAUUUUAUCCUGGGAGGAAAAUUCUGCAACCUCUGGUACUUGAGGAAAAUUAUUUCCUUAAGGACACUUCGUGAAUUCGGAGGACUAGACUUUUUUCUGUUUUAUCUAUUUUUCUUUAAGAACUGAAAACAUACUUCUUUGAAAGAUCAUUUUGAUCUUGUGUUGAAGAUGUUGGACAACUUCAUAAGUGUUCUUGAUUUAUUUUUGAACUUGUGUUGAAGUAGUGUUGUUAAAAUAUAGAUUUUGUGUACCCGAAAAACAACAAUCUUAAGGAAAUAAUUUUUGAAAAACAAAUCUAUAUAUUUUUUUGCUUGUUUGGUGAAAUUUUCUUUUCACUAAAGUUUUUUUUUUUGAAAUUUUUAUUGAUUGGUUUCUGGAGACUAAAGCUUUAAGCUUUCUACUCCGUUUGAACUUAACUAGUGGUUAGAAGAAAUAAAAUCUUCAUCACAAGUUAAAGAUCACUCGGUUGACGAUUGGAAGUCAUAAAAACGUUAUCGUUAAACUAGAAACAAGAGGUGUUUAAGCUGUAACUUUAUUAAUAGUAUUUUGAUAUACUAGAGGUUCUGUUUUGCUGUGAUAGGAAAAAUGACUAACGAUAGUCAAGUGCAUGAUGUUGCAAUGACUGUGGCAGUAACUAGUAUUGCCACAACGAGUCGUACAAAUGCUCCACCGGCAAUAGCACCAACGGAGAAACCCAAAAAUAUUGCGGGUAUUAACUUCAAAAGGUGGCAGCAAAAAAUGUUUUUCUACCUUAUAACUCUUUGUUUUCAAAGGUUCACAUUUGAGGAAGCUCCAGAGGUGCCCGAGGAGCCUCUGAACAAGAGCGAUUUGUGAUUGUGGAGGCUUGAAAAUACUCCUAUUUUCUUUGCAGGAACUACAUCUUGAGUGGUCUCCAAGAUGAUCUCUACAAUGUGUAUAGUGAAACCAAGAUAAGAAAAAAGUUGUGGAAAGCGCUAGAACGGAAGUACAAGAUAGAGAAUACAGGAACUAAAAAGUUCUUCAUUGCAAUAUUCCUAGAAUAUAAAUGAUAGACAGCAAGUCAGUUGUCUCCCAAGUGUAGGAACUAUAAGUGAUCAUCUAUGAUAUCCUUGCGGAAGGUAUGAUUUUGAAAAAUACCUUUGUUGAACAGUUUAAAAAUGUUCUUAGUAUUCACAUAAACUUUUUUGUAGGUUUAAUCAUGAAUGAAGAGUUUCAAGUAGCAGCAAUAAUAGAGAAGCUACCACCCAUGUGGAAAGACUUCAAAACUAUUUGAAACACAAAUGUAAGGAGAUGUCUAUUGAAGAUCUAAUCAUUAGAUUGCGCAUUGAAGAAGACAAUAAGGAUGCGGAAAGAAGGUCGAGAAAAAAUUCUACAAUGAAUGAAGCAAAUAUUGUAGAAGACGACCACAACUCCAAAAAGUGCAAGAAAGCUGGUCAGGAAAGCAAUCAUACCAAGAAGAAAUUCAAGGGAAAGUGCUUUAACUGUGGCAAGAUUGACCACAAAUCUACGGAUUGUCGUGCCCUAAAGAAAGGCAAGAAAAAGAACCAAACAAAUAUGGUUGAAUUCAAGAAAGAAGUGGACGAUCUGUGUGCUAUGCUGUACGAAUGGAACUUGGUAGGAAAUCCUCGUGAAUGGUGGAUGGAUUUCGGUGCCACCCGCCACGUUUGCGCUAAUAAGAAGUUAUUUACUGAUUUUGCUCCGGCUCAAGGAGAAGGAAAGAUCUUCAUGGCUAACUCCGCUACUGGAAAAGUAGAUGGAUCAAGAAAAGUAUGCUUGAAAAUUACUUCAGGCAAAGUGUUAACACUCAACAAUGUCCUGUAUAUACCGGAGUUAAGAAAGAACUUGAUUUCUAUAUCACUUUUAGAUAAAAACGAAUUCAAAUGUGUAACUAUUUCCAGAAAAGUUUUAAUUAGCAAAGGAGAAGUGUGUGUAGGAAAAUGCUAUCUCACUGAUGGCCUAAAUAAGAUGAAUGUAAUGACUAUUGAAAUCAAUAAAAGUUCUGUUUCUUCUUACUUUCUUGAGUCUAAUGAAUUGUGGCAUGAACGUUUAGGACAUGUCAAUUAUAAAACUUUGCGAAAACUGAUUAACUUAGAAGUUUUGUCAAACUUUGAGUGCACUAAAUCAAAGUGUCAAACAUAUGUGGAAUCAAAGUAUGCUAAGCAUCCGUAUGAGUCCGUUGAAAGGAAUUCAAUCCCUUAGACUUAAUACACACUGAUAUUUGUAAUAUGAAGUCAACACCAUCACGCGGUGGGAAAAAAUAUUUUAUAACUUUUAUUGCUGAUUGCACUAGAUACUGUUAUGUCUAUUUUCUAAAUAGUUAGGAUGAAGCAAUAAAUACGUUUAGGCAAUACAAAACUAAAGUUAAAAAUCAGUUAGAGAAAAAGAUCAAGAUUA
rnacentral:lncRNA from 1 species